rnacentral:rRNA from 1 species
GGGAAGGGCAGCUGCUCAGACAUGGCAGGUUGCGUCCCCUGCUCCUCGUGGGCGGGGGGGUCCAACGCGGCUUGCUGGGCCAGCAUCAGUUUUGGCGGCAGGAGAAAACGGGCCGGAAUGUAGCCGCACCUGCUCUGGGUGUGGUGUUAUAGCCGGGGCGUGAAUGCUGCCAGCCGGGACUGAGGGAUGCGACACACUGUUGUCACGGAUGCUGGCAUAAUGGGUAGCUGCCGCCCGUCUUGA